GCACCCAUCUUACCGGACAGUGCUGGACUGUGUAUCUGUUUUCUAACACUGUCUGGUAACGAUGUUUGU
rfam:Astyanax mexicanus chromosome 15, whole genome shotgun sequence.